AUCUGAAAGAACAUCACAAUUUAUUAUAUUAUUAUUGGUAUUAAUGUGCCAAUUUCUUCAUACUCUCAUCAAUGACAAAUAUCUCUCUCAAAAAUAUGUUGCCUGUCUGAUGAUGCCUGUUUAGAUUUUGCCAGCGUGAAGCACUUGAAGUAGACUGGACUCUGAGAAGAGGAGGAACCAUACUAUUUAUGCAUAGCCGGCUGGGGGAGUUGUAGUCGGACACAGUACCUUCAUUUUAUUUAUUUUUAUGUGGCACUGAGGAUCAAACCCAAGGCCUCACAUGUGCUAGAUUGUAUCAGAAGCCAAAAGAAGCCAUGAUUAUUGGGAGAAAGGGCUGGGAGUGAGUGUGGAAUGAAGGGAAGAGUAUUUCUAUAUAAGAGUUUAAAUAGAAGAAUUGCAGCAUGGAGUUUUGUGUGAAUAGGAUGGCAGAAAGUUUGUCAUGAGGAGGAGACUUUCUCUGUGCUUCCUGUUGUAAUGUCCUCAGCUGCUUUCCUCACCCUUCCACCAUCAUGUUCUGCUUCACUUCAAGCCCCAAGGAAUGGAGCCAACCAUCUAUGGACUGAGACCUCUGAAUUCAUUAGGUUAACUAUCUCCAGUUCUUCAAUCUUGUUUCACAAAUAAGAGAACAUAUCUACAGUGAAUUCAGGUGGAGCCACAUUUGUAGGAUAUUAGAAGGUUGUCUGCAUCUGGAAGAGGAGUGAAUUAGUUGUUCUAAACAAAACCAAAAACACAACAGCAAGUUCAACUAUUCUGUAGACCAAAAUUAGAGGAAAACAUCUCCCAGUAAUUUAGGCUGAUACUUCAGAAGUACUCCAGAAGAGAUGGAGGUGAAAGGAUGAUAGAGAACAGAUCCAAUACACAGGGGACGAGGUGGAAAGCCAAGAAGAAAAGCAGGGGAACAGAGUGUCAUCAUGUGAGCUGCUUCCCUCUUCCACACUCUCCCACCAUGAUGUUCUGCUUCACCUGGAGUCCUGAGGAACAGAACUGGCCUUCAAUGGACUAAGACCUCUGAAAUCGUGAGCCCUCAAAUAAACUUUCCUUCCCUAAAAGAAUUCUGGUCAGAUCUUUUAGUCCCAGCAGCGAAAAAUGCUGACUAAAACAGGCCCAUAGAUUAUUAUCUAUAUGAUUCGUAGUUUACUAUCUAUGUUAGUUUUCUGUUCAUAGUUUGUAAUUUACAUUAGUUUAUAUUAUAGUUUAUUAUGUAUAUUAUUUAGUUUUUGCUGCAUCAUAACACAGUCUUAAAACUGAUUUAAAGCUACAUCCAUUUGUUUAGUUCACAUUUUUGUGGGUAGGUAAUUUUAGCUGGGUUCACUUGCAAAGUUUUGUUGGACCUGUCUGGGCUUGACCAGCAGCUGCUGGUACUUGGGCUCAUUUAUAGAUCUGGAGGUUGGCUGGCUGUUGGCUGGAUGCAAGGCUGAGUUAUGUGUCUCUCAUCAGGAGUCAGGCCAGCCUAUGCUUUUUUGCAUAGUGGUACUUGCAGGAUUUCCAACAACAUCAAAUAGUCAAGAUCCAAUGUAGAGGCACUUUCUAAGCUUCUGCUUAUGUACCAUUCACUAAUAUUCUGCUGGUCAAAGAAAUCAAGUGGUCAAUCCAGAUUCAAGUAGUGAUUUCUUAAUAGGAGAAAUGGCAAAAAAAAAAAAAAAAUGUUGGCUUUGUUUUUUCCCAAUUUACCCUUAGGAUUAGUAUUUUCAAACUCAGUUUUAGAAAAGUGCUUAUGAGCUCCAUAUAUUGAACAUUCACCAAUACCCCAAGCAGGAUCUGGAACAACUCUCUAUUUUCAAUCCCUUUAGUGUUGCUACAGCAAAAUUGAUUAUCGUUGAUAAAGAUAAUAAACUGUAUCUGUCAGUUCAAGUGUAUUGUCCAAAAAUUAGUACCAAAUUUACAAACAACCAGUCAAAUAAAUAAAUUUGGUUGUAGGGGGAUUGGAAACUGAAUAAAUGACUGUAGACCUUCUGAAUGUGAGUUAAAAUUGGAUCAUAUAUAAGUUUUGGCAUAGGUUAAAGACAUAAUUAAAUGAAAGAAAGCAAGUUACAUAAAAAUAUUUGCUGCAAACAACAAUUAUAUAAAGUUUUAACAGAAAAUGUUGUGUAGAGAUACAUUUAAAGGCAUAUUUUGAUGAAAACAAAAAUUGAAAUAUAUAUACAAAUUUCAAGGAGGUAGUUGGUUCUGAAGAGAAAAAUGAUGACAAAAAUAUGUGAAGUGGAAAAUAAAUAUAAUUAAUUUUCAUUUUAAAUCUAUUUGAAGCAACAGAAACAAAUACAAAUGGAAAUUAUUAUAUGAUAUAAAUGAUAAAAAGUGAAACUCAAAUGACUAGGGAAAAUUCAUACAUUUACAUUAAUGGACCUGAGAACUUGAGGGACAUUCAAAACAUUAGAUCCUGCUGGACACAGGGUUACUCCUGUAAUCCCAGUGGCUCAGGAGGCUGAGGCAAAAGGAUUGCAAGUUCAAGACCAGCCAGGGCAGUUUAGCAAGACCCUGUCUCAAAAAUAAAAAGGGCUGGAGAUGUGGCUCAGUGGUUAAGUGGGUUCAAUCCCUGGUACCCAAAAGCUUAGAUUCUUACACUAUACACCAGAAUUAAUACCAAAUAAAUCAGAUAUUCUGUUGUUAAAAAUCAAGGAAAACUGGGGCUGGAGUUGUGGCUCAGAGGUAGAGUGCUUGCCUACCAUGUGUGAGACCCUAGGUUUGAUACUCAGCACCACAUAAAAAUAUAAAAUAAAAUAUAUUGUCCACCUAUAACUAAAAAAUAAAUAUAAAAAAAUCAAGGAAAACUAGUACUUUAAAAUUAAUCAUUUUUUUUUUAUAAACUGAGUGGAGAAAAUUUUCUGUGAUUAAAUUUGGUCAUGAAAACAAUGAGAAAGAUCUUAUGCUUUGAAAUUGCUAGAUCUAUAAGACAUAUUGCAGGGUAAGAAAGCAGAACAAUGUGUGUGGUAUACUUCCUUUUGAAUAACAGUAAAAACUCAAUAGUGCAAUGUACUGACAUUUGCUUAUGGGGAGGGAGGAGGCAAACAGGAUGAAAUAGCAAUGAACCCAUAAUUUCUUGUAAUAUAUGUGGCUUUGACUUUACAACCAUUUUCACCAUGCAUUCCUAAAUAAAUAAUUAAUUAAAAAACAUGAACAACAAA